rnacentral:rRNA from 1 species
CCCUUAGAUGUUCUGGGCCGCACGCGCGCUACACUGACGAAUGCAACGAGCUUAUAACCUUGGCCGAAAGGUCUGGGUAAUCUCCAAAUUUCGUCGUGAUGGGGAUAGAUUAUUGCAAUUAUUAAUCUUCAACGAGGAAUGCCUAGUAAGCGCAAGUCAUCAGCUUGCGUUGAUUACGUCCCUGCCCUUUGUACACACCGCCCGUCGCUCCUACCGAUGAAUCGUUCGGUGAAGUUCAUGGAGGGGCGGUUGUUUCAGCUGCCGUCGAAGUGAAAUGGACCUGACGAUUUAGAGGAAGGAGAAGUCGUAACA